GGCUCCACAGAGUAGUGGUUAGCGCAUUUGCUUUAUAUACAGAAGGUCCUGGGUUCAUGUCCCAAUGGAGCCA
rnacentral:tRNA from 1 species